UGGGGAAUAUUGCGCAAUGGCCGAAAGGCUGACGCAGCGACGCCGCGUGUGGGAGGAAGCCCUUCGGGGUGUAAACCACUGUCAGAGGGGAAGAAACCCGGGCGUCUGAAUAAGGCGUUCGAUUGACGGUACCUUCAAAGGAAGCGCCGGCUAACUCCGUGCCAGCAGCCGCGGUAAGACGGAGGGCGCAAGCGUUGUUCGGAAUUACUGGGCGUAAAGCGCACGCAGGCGGCCUGUUAAGUCCUUUGUGAAAGCCCGGGGCUCAACCCCGGAAUUGCAUCGGAUACUGGCAGGCUAGAGAUCGGUAGAGGCUAGCGGAAUUCCUGGUGUAGCGGUGGAAUGCGUAGAUAUCAGGAAGAACACCUGUGGCGAAGGCGGCUAGCUGGGCCGAUUCUGACGCUCAUGUGCGAAAGCGUGGGGAGCAAACA
rnacentral:rRNA from 1 species